rnacentral:rRNA from 1 species
AUGGCCACCAAGCUGCAUAGAUCCAUCCUUGCGUACUCUUUGUGCCUCAUGAUCCUCUCCCUUGGCCCCGACCAUGUAGCUCUCUGCACUGCGCAGGCGCAGUCGUUCGUCUACUCCGGCUUCCGGGGAGCAGAUAUCACCCUCGACGGCUCCGCCAUGGUCCAACCCGGCGGACUCCUCCAGCUGACCAACAGCUCCGACAUCAUAGGCUACGCGUUCCACCGGGCUCCCUUGCGCUUCCGUCACGGCGCCGGCGGCACGGUGCGAUCCUUCUCGCUCUCCUUCGUGUUUGCCGUCCAGUCCGAGUUCGACAAGGAGAGCAGCGGCGGCAUGGCCUUCUUCGUCGCCCCCGGCAGGAACUUCUCCGGCGCCAUGCCAGGCAGUUUCCUAGGCCUCUUCAACGCCUCGACCAACGGCCGCCCCGACAACCGCAUCUUCGUGGCCGAGCUCGACACCUUUGGCAACGGGGAGUUCAAGGACAUAGACAGCAACCAUGUCGGCAUCGACGUCAACGGGCUAAUCUCCGUUGAAGCCCACACGGCUGGUUUCUAUGAUCACAAGACUGGUAGCUUCACAAACUUAUCUCUGAAUAGUGGAGAUCCGAUGCAACUGUGGGUCGAUUAUGAUGCACAGAUCACACAGGUCGUGUCGACCUUGGCUCCCCUCGGCGCUGCCAAACCUCGCAGGCCAUUGUUUACAGCCACCACCAACCUCUCCGAUGUGCUCGAGGACCCAUCUUUUGUUGGCUUCUCGGGUGCAUCCGGCUCACUCAGCACGCUCUACUCCGUGCUUGGUUGGAGCUUUGGCCUGGAUGGCCCUGCCCCGGCAAUCAACAUCACAAAUUUGCCCAAGUUGUUCCGUGGUCGUCAGGAGGUUCGAUCUAAAGUCUUGCAGAUCGUCCUUCCGAUUGCCACCGCAGUGUUCAUCGCGGCCGUGGGAACCGCCAUCACCCUUCUCGUACGAAGGCAUCGGAGGUAUGCCGAGCUACGGGAGGAUUGGGAGGUGGAGUUCGGGCCACAUCGCUUCUCGUACAAGGACCUGUACCAUGCGACGGAAGGAUUCAAGAACAAGAACCUCCUAGGCGAAGGAGGCUUUGGGAAAGUAUACAAAGGAGUACUCCCGGUAUCCAACUUGGAGGUAGCCGUGAAGAAAGUGUCCCAUGAGUCAAGGCAGGGGAUGAAGGAGUUCAUCGCCGAGGUCGUAAGUAUUGGUCGCCUUCGACACCGCUACCUAGUGCAGUUGCUUGGUUAUUGCCGGCGUGAACAUGAGCUCAUUCUGGUGUAUGAGUACAUGCCGAAUGGCAGUCUUGAUAAGUACCUGCAUUGUGGAGAGGACAAUCCGACACUUGACUGGACCCAGAGGUUUGGGAUCAUCAAUGGGAUAGCAUGUGGCUUGUGGUAUCUACACGAGAAAUGGGAAAAGGUUGUCAUACAUAGAGACAUAAAAGCAAGCAAUGUGCUCCUUGAUGGUGAAAUGAAUGGACGGCUCGGUGAUUUUGGCCUGGCAAGGUUAUAUGAUCAUGGUACCGACCUACAAACCACACAUGUGGUUGGCACCAUGGGUUACCUAGCCCCAGAGUUGCUACGCUCGGGCAAGGCUUCUCCUCUUACAGAUGUUUUUGCCUUCGGCACAUUCCUUCUUGAGGUAGCAUGUGGACAGAGACCCAUUAAGCAAGACUCCAAAGACGAACACAUCAUGCUGGUGGAUUGGGUACGCGAGCAUUGUCACAAUGGAACCCUCUUGCAAACUGUGGACACAAGGCUUCAUGGUAACUAUGACAAGGACAAGGCCAACAUGGUGUUGAAGCUAGGGCUUUUGUGCUUGCAUCCGUUGCCCAGUGCGAGGCCUAGCAUGAAGCAAGUCAUGGAGUACCUCGACGGAGAGACCGCACUGCCGGAGAUGGCACCCACACAUAUCAACAACGUCAAUAUGAUGCAAAUCAGAGGAUUUCCCGACCUAACGACGAGCAUCGGCACAUUCUCUGGUCUCUCAGGGGGGCGAUGA